rnacentral:tRNA from 1 species
GAGGGUAUAACUUGAGUGGUAGAGUGCAUGCCUAGCAUGCAUGAGUCCCUGGGUUUAACCCCCAGUACCUCCA